rnacentral:piRNA from 1 species
UAGAAUAAGUCUUUUGUGGGCCUCUGGU